rnacentral:rRNA from 1 species
CCUACGGGGGGCAGCAGUGGGGAAUAUUGCACAAUGGGGGAAACCCUGAUGCAGCAACGCCGCGUGAGUGAGGAAGUAUUUCGGUAUGUAAAGCUCUAUCAGCAGGGAAUAGAAAAGAAGGUACCUGAAAAAGAAGCCCCGGCUAACUACGUGCCAGCAGCCGCGGUAAUACGUAGGGGGCAAGCGUUAUCCGGAUUUACUGGGUGUAAAGGGAGCGUAGACGGAAAGGCAAGUCAGAAGUGAAAGCCCGGGGCCCAACCCCGGGACUGCUCUUGGAACUGCAUGGCUGGAGUACAGGAGGGGCG